UGAUGUAGAAUGUUUAGAAUCAAAAUUAGUUAUGACAGAUAUAACUUACUGAUAGGAACAAAAUGAAUGGAGUUUGUUAGAAAUGCUGGUUAAGCAAUGCAAUCAAAUUGGCAGUUAGCAAUAGGACAUUGAUGGACAGUGCUACAAAAUAUAAACUAAACGAUUUUUUUUACCUUGCCUCUUGUUGAAGUAAAACUCUCCAUGAUGUUGAUGCAAAAUGGAAUUGAAGAAAAAUCUAUUAUAUCGCAUCAUAUUCAAACAAACCUUACCAAUAGGUACUUCC
rnacentral:lncRNA from 1 species